rnacentral:misc_RNA from 1 species
AACCGCCGUAUACGAGACCCAUAUGUACGGUGGUGUGAGAGGUGCACUCUCCUCACUGAUGGGGAUAGCCGUCUACUCGAU